rnacentral:pre_miRNA from 1 species
UGCAAUGUUUUGACUCUUCGUCUUAUUUAAAAUUUUUUUGCGAUUAAAUUUUUAUUGUUACUAGAUGAUAAAAUAUUAAUAGUAAAUUAUGUGUGACUAUUUUUUUUAAGUUUUUAACGAAUUUUUCAAAUAAGACGAAUGAUCAAACGUUAGACACGGAAAAAC